GGAUGAAGAACGUAGCGAAUUGCGAUACGUAAUGUGAAUUGCAGAUUUUCAGUGAAUCAUCGAAUCUUUGAACGCACCUUGCGCUCCUUGGUAUUCCGAGGAGCAUGCCUGUUUGAGUGUCAUCGAAUUCUCAACCAUUCUUUGAUUGAUUUCGAGGGAAUGGCUUGGAUUUUGGGAGUUGCCGGCGCCCCAUGGGCGGUCGACUCUCCUUAAAAGCAUUAGCGAAAGGUGGCAAGCCCCUGCAUGCACGGCCUUCGACGUGAUAAUGAUCGUCGUGGCUGGAGUGCGAGGCUCGGUUCCGUCCUUUGCUUCUAAACGGUUCGUAUCGAGGGGACUUUUUUGCUUCGGCGAAACUGAAACCUCUUUACUUCUUGACGCUUGACCUCAAAUCAGGUAGGACUACCCGCUGAACUUAAGCAUAUCAAUAAGCGGAGGA
rnacentral:misc_RNA from 1 species